rnacentral:rRNA from 1 species
GAUCAUGGCUCAGGAUGAACGCUAGCGACAGGCUUAACACAUGCAAGUCAGGGGCAGCGGGGAGUAGCAAUACUUCGCCGGCGACCGGCGCACGGGUGAGUAACACGUGUGCAACCAACCCCGUACCGGGAGAUAACCCGCGGAAACGUGGACUAACAUCCCAUAAUACUGGAGGAUCGCAUGAUCUUUCAUUUAAAAAUUCCGGUGGUACGGGACGGGGCACGCGCGACAUUAGGUAGUUGGCGGGGUAACGGCCC